rnacentral:ncRNA from 1 species
CCAGCCGGUACAGUGUGCGGGUCGUCAUCACACCCGUACGGGGGGAAGCCGGUGCAAACCCGGCGCUGACCCGCAACCGUGAGCCACCGCCAGGUGGCGAGCCGGACUGCCCCGUACGGAAGUUGACCGG